rnacentral:lncRNA from 1 species
GCCGGGCCAAUGUCCUAUCUCAGGGUUUCCCACGUCGCUCGCUCCUUGACGGCUGACCGACACUGGGUCUGAGGUGUAAGCGCUUUCCAGGCCCUUCCCUGGGGCUUGGAGGGGAAUGGCGCAAAGGACUUUUCUUACAAGCAGAGCCACUGCAGUUACCAAAGAGUAUGUCGCUUAUUGUCUAAGAGGUUGGACUCCUGAAAGCCUGGACAGUGUCAUCAUCUUCACCUGAAGAGUGGAAAAAUUCAAGCAAAGAGUUUCUCAGGAAAUGACCAAGUAAAACAUCUGGAGUAAGUCAGCAGGAUUCACAGUGACUCCCCCCAACCAGCUGGUGGUGUUUCUCUCUGAAAGCAGCGCUUGGUACCAGUGUGAACUCUCUUCCUUCAGAAGUCUCAUCAGGUGGACGUAAUACGAGGGUCUGGUCCCCCAUACCUUGAGGACUCCGCUGCCAUCUGACAAUUACAGACAAUCCAAUUGUCCUCAUCCUUGAGGACUCUGCUGCCAUCUGACAAUUAGAGACAGUCCAAAACAUGCCACACUUUGAUCCUAAACACAUUCCUGGCUUUGGUCACUUUUGAAAAGUUCCUGAGUUAUGAGAAAUCAAUAAUAAGAGUGUUCAAAACCUGAACACUCUUUUUAGAAAUACCUGCUGGAACUACAUAUAUGAUUUAUGGGGUACUGUCUUGUAGUAUCUGGGAAAGUAGACCCAUCUAACCUGGAAUGAUCAUAGGCAACAAUGACCAAAAAUGGGGAUCUUUUGAUAUACCUAAAGUAAUUUAUUUGUGCACACCAUUGGAAAGAGCUGGUUUUAGAACCAGACAUGUAAAUAAGAGACUGACUUCCACUGGCACCUAAAAACUUCUAAAAGAAAUCCUGAAAGAAAAAGUCACCUUCAUUCAAGAGACCAUUUGGGCCUUCAUGAGUAACCAGCUGAGAAGCUGAGAUCAGAUAGAAAUGAAAUUCAUAGAAUAGGACCCUGACAAGUACUCUUGAAUACAGGUUUCUGAUAACUUUGGAGAUCAUAUCAUUGGACUAAGUAACAACUUUCAGGUAUGUAAUAAACUGAUGUGUUCCUUAGAUUGCUAACUCAACAUCAAGCAGAACACGAAUUAAUUACAUGUGACUGAACUGACAGAAGACUGAAAAGAUUUGCUGACUUUUUAUUUAAAACAUUGCUGGUUUUUUUUUUUAUUUUGUCUUCCAGAGUCAAGAAAACUUUUUUUCCUUGAGCUAUUUAUUUAUACUUUAUAACAAUUGGGUAAAAAUACCUUUGUGAACAACAUUGAAACAUCUGCCUUUCUCUCUACCUGAUUACUCCAAAAUUUGGAAACUAUUCAUGAGUACUCUUAUUUUAUGGCAAUCUAGUUAUUUGCAUACAUUUAAUAAGAAUCUUUUUUCUGUAACAGGAUAUAAUUGGAGACACUUGUUAUUUUACUAAGGAUUUGACUGGAAUGACAUAUUUUCAGAUAUGACCAGACUGCUUUGAAGAAUGGAGGUUGACUCUAUAGAGGCAAUUAGAAAGCCUCUUGGAAAGACUGGCCUGGUCCCUUGUCUACGUAGUUCCCUUUCAAGAUUUCUGUCCUGUGUUAAGUAAAGAAUGUCACUUUCUGACAGGCCUGGGAACCUCAAAAUAUUUCCGCUGUGUAUCUCUCAUUGUUUUAUUUCUUCUGAGAAAACUAAAUUCAUGGUACACUGAAGAGGUGAUUCCACAAGUGAUGGCAGCUAUAAAUCAAUGACUGGUAGGACUACCUGGGCAUGAGCCUUUCUGGCAAUGAGGGAUACCUUGACACUCAGAUUUUGAUCAUCAGUGCUUUCAAAAGGAAAGAUUUUUGAUCAAAAGGAAGAAAUGAGAAAAAGAACUUUUAUCUGAAGAAUGCAAGUCCUUUCCAAUUAUCAGAUCCAGAGAGGUAUUAAAAUGAGACGGCAAUCCUGUCCUACACACACCCCCUUUUGAGGCAUGUACUCAUCUUUUUAUACUGCUUACUAUUGCCACAAGUAGCUGAAAAUUAGCCUACUGGUGCUGCACCAGACAUUAUAACCCAUAUCCUAUAGCUUAAUAAUGGAUAGCCAAUCAACAGCUUAUGUUAUGUUAAUGUAAAUUAUUGGUAAAUAACUCAGGAACUGCCUCUUCUUUCCUUUUAAAAACCCACUUGUGGGCCGGGCGUGGUGGCUCACGCCUGUAAUCCCAGCAUUUUGGGAGGCCAAGGUGGGCGGAUCACAAGGUGAGGAGAUCAAGACCAUCCUGGAUAACACAGUGAAACCCUGUCUCUACUAAAAAUACAAAAAAUUAGCCGGGCGUGGUGGCGGGCACCUGUAGUCCCAGCUACUCGGGAGGCUG